GUUGUAGUAAAGCAUUUUGUUGUAUACCUUUUUCUCGGGACAUGCAUUCAUAUAUAUGUUCAGAUUCAGUUAAUCUAUUUAGAUUUUGGAUUUUAAGAGUUAGAAAUUUAAAUCGUAUUCGGAUAUUUACAAAUUUUGGUUUGGAUUUGGUUCGAAUCAUUGCGGAUUCAGUUUGAAUUCGAGUUCGAGUAUCCAUUUUAAUUAUGUAUUUUUUAACAAAAAUUCAAAUAUACUUAAAUUCUCAAUAUCUGAAAAUAAAAUAAUAUAAAACUUAAAA
rnacentral:lncRNA from 1 species